rnacentral:rRNA from 1 species
AACGAACGCUGGCGGCAUGCCUAACACAUGCAAGUCGAACGGGACCUUCGGGUCUAGUGGCGCACGGGUGCGUAACGCGUGGGAACCUGCCCUUAGGUUCGGAAUAACUCCCCGAAAGGGGUGCUAAUACCGGAUAAUGUCUUCGGACCAAAGAUUUAUCGCCUUUGGAUGGGCCCGCGUUGGAUUAGCUAGUUGGUAGGGUAAAAGCCUACCAAGGCGACGAUCCAUAGCUGGUCUGAGAGGAUGAUCAGCCACACUGGGACUGAGACACGGCCCAGACUCCUACGGGAGGCAGCAGUGGGGAAUAUUGGACAAUGGGCGAAAGCCUGAUUCAGCAAUGCCGCGUGAGUGAUGAAGGCCUUAGGGUUGUAAAGCUCUUUUACCCGGGAUGAUAAUGACAGUACCGGGAGAAUAAGCUCCGGCUAACUCCGUG